CGGAAUCGCUAGUAAUCGUGGAUCAGAAUGCCACGGUGAAUACGUUCCCGGGCCUUGUACACACCGCCCGUCACACCAUGGGAGUGGGUUGCAAAAGAAGUAGGUAGCUUAACCUUCGGGAGGGCGCUUACCACGUUGUGAUUCAUGACUGGGGUGAAGUCGUAACAAGGUAACCGUAGGGGAACCUGCGGUUGGAUCACCUCCUUACCUGAAGAUAC
rnacentral:rRNA from 1 species